CCACCAGCGAGUCCACACUGCUGGGUAUGUCUCAGUGUGUCCGAGGCCUGGUGGCAUCUCAGGAUCUGCCAGAACAGAUGUGCAGCAGACCUAAGCAUGGUGCCCUGUGUGCUGGGAGGACAGUGGCUGCACGAGCCCUCCUCACUGCCCUAGUCACCCAAUGUGCCGGGCAGGUGGCAGUGGCUGGUGUGUGGUGGUCCUUUCUGGGUCUGGUGGUCUGAUGCAGUGCUGCCACAUGCUGGCCUUCCGAUGUUUGGGAGUGUGGCCUUAGGGUUGCAUCUUUCUUUCCUACACACGGGGAACAGUAAUGCCUUCCUCACAGCUUGCUGGAAGGACUGAAUGAGAUACAGCAAGGGCAAUGCUGGUAAGCACUUUACUAUUUUGCAGUACUGGGGACUGAACCCAGCUAUAUUGUCAACCUCCCAUUAAAUUUUUUGAGAUGUGGCCUCACGAAGUUGCCCUGGCUGGGCUUGAACUUGUGACUCUGCCUCAGCUCCAAGCGCUGGAACUCCAGGGACAGUGAGGGCUUCUCCCUGCAGGGCCCCUUAGCCUCUCUGGGAUCUGCAGAGGAAGCGAGCCGCCACGUAAAGACCCUAAACCCACAGGGCGGGGGUGCUGAACUCAUUUCCCGACCCUUUCGGGCUCCCUGGUUCCCCCGGUGUUCCUGAAGCUGCAGUGUCCUGGCAUUUGAGGGGAAUGAAGCCAUGGGCAGCCAGCUUUGGCUGUUACAGUUCAAGAAGACCCCAGGCCCCACCCCAGGGACCCUGCUCCUGGGCAGACAGGGAGGCCUGGAUUCAUGCACCCUUUUCUCCCUGCACCCCGGCCCACAAACCCCUGCCUGUAAGUGUGCAACCCUGGCUGCAAUUCUCCCCACGCUCAGAGAUGGACUAAUAGGAGGGGCCCUGAAGCCCUGGCCAUGGCUGACAUCUCCCCCAGUAGCAGGGUUAGGGUUAAGUGAGACAGAUGAGAAAGAUCAGGCCUUUACUACAAAAUCUCUCAAAAGCACACAGCAGCAGUGCCUUUAAAACAUUGCCAAGCAAUUCUCAGGGGCAGAGCCCCUCUCUCAAAAGUUUAUUGCGUAUUAUCACAACUGAAGCAGUGUGGGUAUCACUGAAGCUUGCAGCAGUUGUCUGGAGGUGUGGGUUAGAGCCAACGCACCUGACUGCAUUAGCAGCCUUCUGGAAGGAGGCGGGAUGGGAGGCGGCCCCUCCAGGCCGGCCUUGCUCCUGCUGCCUCCCAGGGCACCUGGGAUGUACUCUCAGGCCCCAGGUGACCCCUGCCCACUCAGGGACCUGGGCUGUUUGUGGGAGCAGCAACGCUGACUGUGGGUGUGGGGUGGGGAGGUGGACCACUUCCCACUCAGGCUUUGGUGUUCCGGGCAUAGGUGUUUUCACCUUCCCUCAUGGGGACACAUCCUGGGGAUGGAGGAACUGUGUGGCAGCUGCUGUCACCUGCCUACCGCCUCCUGUUCUGUUGCAUAAUUCCUCCAGCUCUGUGGGGCUGGGCAGAUGACUCAGCAGCCCUGUCGCCCCAGGGAGGGCAGGGAAGGCUCAUCUUUUUUCUCCUUCCUCCGGUGCUGGGAUGGAACCUGGGCCUUGGGCAUGCUAGGCACUGCCUUCACUGGGCCGCAUCACCUGAACGCUCGCCUCCUGACUGUGACAGGUGCAUGUCCUGAGGCCUUCGACUCCAAGCCAAGGCAGGUGGGGGUGGCUAGAGGGGCCUGCUGGUGCAGGAGAGGAGAGGAAAGCAGAGCUCAUGCCCUCACUUCCCCCAAGCCUGCAUGGUCUGAAUAUCACCUGGAGACCAGUUCAGCCUCCCUCCCUGCUCCAAGGCCCCUUUCAAAAGGCAGUCAUGCUCCAGGGAACUUUCUAGGCCCUGGCAGUACCCCCGCUGGGCCAGUCCAGGAGGAGCCACGUGUGAGCCUGUGGCUCGGCAGGGGUGAACCGUGCAGAGCAGCUUCUCUGUCUGUCCCUGCAAAGCUCAGAACAGGUUGCUACCCCAGUGUGGCACCCGGGGCUGGCCCUGGCCUGGGCUCCUUGCCCUCUUGGGGAUCCACUUUUGUUUGUCCUCGAGGUCAACCAGGUGGAGGUGUGACCCCGAGAGCCGCCUGAGGCGUCCCUGGCUGUCUGUGGGCGUGAGGAGGACGUGGGCUAAGGGCGGGUGAUGCCAGCCUUCCUUGAACAAGGAAAGCUCAACAGUGCCAACAGUGCUGGUUUUGAGUCAUUUCUCCUUCUCCCGCCGAGGCCAGCACCCCAGACCCGAGGAGUGAAGAGCGGGGGACUGAUGCUGAGAAGGGAGGCUUUGGUGAGGAGCAGGGAGAGGGAGCCAAGAAGAGAAGAGGAUGACGUCAUCGGCCCCCAGGACUGGCCCGACCUGCCAUCAGCCGUCUGUCCAUUGGCAGCAGGACGAGAGCUCUGGGAAGGGCCAUGCCUGCUCACCUGCUGCAGGUCAGCGACACUGAACUUGUGGGGAGACUCCAGGAGAUAAUGCCUGUGGCCAAGCCUGAAAGAAGUACAAGAGCUUCCUCAGCCAGGCUUGAGGCCCAGGCCAGCCUGUGACAUCUCCCUCCCCACAGCACUGCUGGCUGGCAGGGCCUCACAGGGAGACCACGAACUGGCAGGACUUGGCUUUCUGAAACAGGAAGCUGCCAUUUAUCACCAGGAAGACAGAGGGACUCACAGGCCAGCCCUGAGCAGGUCCACAGCCCCUCCAGGUGCCCGGGGAAGAUGAGGCUCCUGAGAUAGCCCAAGAUGUUCUACCACCUUGCAAGACAGGAGGCCACAGCAUCUCAGAAAGGGGCAGGAUGGGCCGGCCUGGCCAAGAAGGGGGGCCCAGGCAAGCCCCCAGCCAGCCUCUGACCAACCAGGCCCUGAGGGAGGAAGGUGAGCGCUGCAGGGGCUGCUCUCCAGGUCGAGGGCCGGCUCCAGCCCCGAGGAGCAGAGCUGAUGUGGCUGACCAGGACCCAGGAGCCCCUCCGUGCUCCCCGGGCAGCCCAGAGGCGAAGCCAGGGCACCUGCAGUGAGCCCUGGUGGCCUUCAUGCCCAUCCUUCAGCCCAGCAUCACCUCCCACCCUGAGUACCAAGGAGCUUCUGCAUCAGCCUUCCAUGCUCAGUGUGCACUUUCGGGAGGACACCGCCAUGAAGCUGCCAGCAGCCGGGACAGGGAGGAGACAGGAAGCCUCCGGAGCCGGCCACUCACUGCACUCCCACCCUGGCCAAGGUCCUCGCUGAGCUUGCUGUGCAUGGCUAGAACCCCUGCCCCUUCCCAACUCCUCCAGGAAGCCCCCAGCCUGUGCCACCUUCCUUGGGUGAGUCUCCCUCUGUAACUGCAGGCCUCCUUCCUGCCUCUGGUUGCCGCUGCUCAUCACCUCCAGGAGGCAGGCCCUGCACCUGCCCUGCUCAGCAUGAGACCCAAACACGCCCCGCCUGCUGUGUGGUACUUUCCCUGUUCCCAGGAAAUAUUUGUUGAAUGAACCAAUAAAUGUAUAAACGGGC